CUCCGGUUGAUCCCGCCGGACCCGACUGCUAUCAGAGUGGGACUAAGCCAUGCGAGUCAACGUAGCAAUACGUGGCAUACGGCUCAGUAACACGUAGUCAACAUGCCCAGGGGACGAGGAUAACCUCGGGAAACUGAGGAUAAACCUCGAUAGGCCAUGAUUUCUGGAAUGAUUCUUGGCUCAAACCUAUAUGGCCCCUGGAUUGGACUGCGGCCGAUCAGGCUGUUGGUGAGGUAAUGGCCCACCAAACCUAUUACCGGUACGGGCUCUGAGAGGAGGAGCCCGGAGAUGGGCACUGAGACAAGGGCCCAGGCCCUAUGGGGCGCAGCAGGCGCGAAACCUCUGCAAUAGGCGAAAGCUUGACAGGGUUACUCUGAGUGAUUUCCGCUAAGGGAAUCUUUUGGCACCUCUAAAAAUGGUGCAGAAUAAGGGGUGGGCAAGUCUGGUGUCAGCCGCCGCGGUAAUACCAGCACCCCGAGUGGUCGGGACGAUUAUUGGGCCUAAAGCAUCCGUAGCCGGUCCUGCAAGUCUUCCGUUAAAUCCAGCUGCUCAACAGAUGGGCUGCGGGAGAUACUACAGGGCUAGGAGGCGGGAGAGGCAAGCGGUACUUUAUGGGUAGGGGUAAAAUCCGCUGAUCCAUAGAAGACCACCAGUGGCGAAGGCGGCUUGCCAGAACGCGCUCGGCGGUGAGGGAUGAAAGCUGGGGGAGCAAACCGGAUUAGAUACCCGGGUAGUCCCAGCUGUAAACGAUGCAGACUCGGUGAUGGGUUGGCCUCGCGCCUGCCCAGUGCCGCAGGGAAGCCGUUAAGUCUGCCGCCUGGGGAGUACGGUCGCAAGACUGAAACUUAAAGGAAUUGGCGGGGGAGCA
rnacentral:rRNA from 1 species